UUUAAGUGCAACCAUAAGUUUAUGCGCCCCGCCCAACUUUGAUCGUUCAACUUAUUUAAAAAAAAUUAUAAUUAAUAUUUUUGUUGUUAUGAGAUGAUAAAACAUGAAUAAUACUUUACUUGUGACUUAUGUUUUUAAAUUUUUUUAAAAACUUUUCAAAUAAGAUGGACGGUCAAAGUUGGGUGCGGAAAAUCAUGGCUGCACUUAUA
rfam:Oryza sativa Japonica Group DNA, chromosome 9, cultivar: Nipponbare, complete sequence.